GACGAACGCUGGCGGCGUGCUUAACACAUGCAAGUCGAACGGAAAGGCCCUGCUCUUGCGGGGUGCUCGUGUGGCGAACGGGUGAGUAACACGCGUGUAUACCGUCCCUGUCAUUGGGAUAACUUCAGGAAACUCGGGCUAUUAUCCGAUAGGAGCUCUUGCUGCACGGUGGGGGUUGGAAAGUUUCGGCGGUUGGGGAUGGACUCGCGGCUUAUCAGCUUGUUGGUGGGGUAGUGGCUUACCAAGGCUUUGACGGGUAGCCGGCCUGAGAGGGUGACCGGCCACAUUGGGACUGAGAUACGGCCCAGACUCCUACGGGAGGCAGCAGUGGGGAAUAUUGCACAAUGGGCGGAAGCCUGAUGCAGCGACGCCGCGUGCGGGAUGACGGCCUUCGGGUUGUAAACCGCUUUCGCCUGUGACGAAGCGUGAGUGACGGUAAGGGGUAAAGAAGCACCGGCUAACUACGUG
rnacentral:rRNA from 1 species